GUAAUAUAUCGGAACGUGCCCAGUCUGGGGGAUAACGUAAGCGAAAGCUACGCUAAUACCGCAUACGAUCUAUGGAUGAGAGCGGGGGAUCGCAAGACCUCGCGCGAUUGGAGCGGCCGAUAUCAGAUUAGGUAGUUGGUGAGGUAAAGGCUCACCAAGCCGACGAUCUGUAGCUGGUCUGAGAGGACGACCAGCCACACUGGGACUGAGACACGGCCCAGACUCCUACGGGAGGCAGCAGUGGGGAAUUUUGGACAAUGGGCGCAAGCCUGAUCCAGCAAUGCCGCGUGCAGGAUGAAGGCCUUCGGGUUGUAAACUGCUUUUGUACGGAACGAAACGGUGAGCUCUAAUACAGUUUGCUAAUGACGGUACCGUAAGAAUAAGCACCGGCUAACUACGUG
rnacentral:rRNA from 1 species